rnacentral:rRNA from 1 species
UACGGAGGGUGCAAGCGUUAAUCGGAAUUACUGGGCGUAAAGCGCACGCAGGUGGCUGAGUCAGUCGAUUGUGAAAGCCCUGGGCUUAACCUGGGAAUUGCAGUCGAUACUACUCAGCUAGAGUAUGGGAGAGGGUAGUGGAAUUCCCGGUGUAGCGGUGAAAUGCGUAGAUAUCGGGAGGAACAUCAGUGGCGAAGGCGGCUACCUGGCCCGAAUCUGACGCUGAGAUGCGAAAGCGUGGGGAGCGAUCCGG